GACGAACGCUGGCGGCGUGCUUAACACAUGCAAGUCGAACGGAAAGGCCCUGCUUUUGUGGGGUGCUCGAGUGGCGAACGGGUGAGUAACACGUGAGUAACCUGCCCUUGACUUUGGGAUAACUUCAGGAAACUGGGGCUAAUACCGGAUAGGAGCUCCUGCUGCAUGGGGGGGGUUGGAAAGUUUCGGCGGUUGGGGAUGGACUCGCGGCUUAUCAGCUUGUUGGUGGGGUAGUGGCUUACCAAGGCUUUGACGGGUAGCCGGCCUGAGAGGGUGACCGGCCACAUUGGGACUGAGAGACGGCCCAGACUCCUACGGGAGGCAGCAGUGGAGAAUCUUGCACAAUGGGCGGAAGCCUGAUGCAGCAACGCCGCGUGCGGAAUGACGGCCUUCGGGUUGUAAACCGCUUUCGCCUGUGACGAAGCGUGAGUGACGGUAAUGGGUAAAGAAGCACCGGCUAACUACGUG
rnacentral:rRNA from 1 species